rnacentral:rRNA from 1 species
CAGCAGUAGCCACGGUAAUACAGAGGGUGCGAGCGUUAAUCGGAUUUACUGGGCGUAAAGCGUGCGUAGGCGGCUUCUUAAGUCGGAUGUGAAAUCCCUGAGCUUAACUUAGGAAUUGCAUUCGAUACUGCGAAGCUAGAGUAUGGGAGAGGAUGGUAGAAUUCCAGGUGUAGCGGUGAAAUGCGUAGAGAUUUGGAGGAAUACCGAUGGCGAAGGCAGCCAUCUGGCCUAAUACUGACGCUGAGGUACGAAAGCAUGGGGAGCAAACAGGAUUAGAUACCCCAGUAGUCCCUGUCUCUUAUAC